rnacentral:rRNA from 1 species
AAAGUCAUCUAUGAAUCCACCCAAUCUUAUCUGAUCUCAGAAGCUAAGCAGGGUCAGGCCUCAUUAGUACUUAGAUAGGAGACUAGCCGAGAACACCCUGUGCUAAAGGCUUUG